UUAAUUGUUUCUAUUCAGAUUACAUAAAUCCUUCACCUUUUCCUAAAGAUUUUUGUAGAGAGGAACAAUUCUGAGUUUCAAAUCAAUUUUUUUAGAUCUUGAACUCACAUGGUC